CCGGCGGUCUAGGUUGAACCUCCCAUAUAGUUUCCUGUUACAUACCCAAUAAUCCAGGUCGAACCUUUAAUGUAGUUCCCUGCUACCUACCUAACGGUCCAAGUCGAACCUCCCAUAUAGUUCCCUGCCACCUUUUUAGGUGGUCCUAGUUGAACCUUUCAAGUCAUUCCAUGUGCCACCUACAUGGCCCAUCUUUAUGAGGUGCCACCC
rnacentral:lncRNA from 1 species